AAUGAACGUUGGCGGCGUGGAUUAGGCAUGCAAGUCGUGCGGCAGCAGGCCCGGCAAGGGGCGCUGGCGAGCGGCGAAAGGGAUAGUAAUGUGUGGAUACCUGCCCUGGGGACGGGGAUAGCUGCUGGAAACGGCAAUUAAUACCCGAUGAUGUCUCCGGACCAAAGGUGUGAUUCCGCCCUAGGAGGGGUCCACAUCCUAUUAGCUAGUUGGUGAGGUAACGGCUCACCAAGGCCACGAUGGGUAGCGGGUGUGAGAGCACGACCCGCAUCAAUGGGACUGAGACACUGCCCAGACACCUACGGGUGGCUGCAGUCGAGGAUCUUCGGCAAUGAGCGAAAGCUUGACCGAGCGACGCCGCGUGCGGGAUGAAGGCCUUCGGGUUGUAAACCGCUUUCGGAGGGGAGGAAAUCUAGGGGGGAUCACCCUUCUAGUUGACCUAUCCUAGGAAGAAGGACGGGCUAAGUUCGUGCCAGCCGCCGCGGUAAUAC
rnacentral:rRNA from 1 species